UACGUAGGGUGCGAGCGUUAAUCGGAAUUACUGGGCGUAAAGCGUGCGCAGGCGGUUUUGUAAGCCAGAUGUGAAAUCCCCGGGCUUAACCGUAGGAGUGACAUUUGGGGACUGCAAGGCUGGAGUGCGGCAGAGGAGACUGGAAUUCCUGGUGUAGCAGUGAAAUGCGUAGAUAUCAGGAGGAACACCGGUGGCGAAGGCGGUGGUCUGGGCCGGCACUGACGCUGAGGAGCGAAAGCGUGGGGAGCGAACAGG
rnacentral:rRNA from 1 species